UCUGGAGCAGGUGGAACCUUCAUAAAGAUGAUUAAGAGUAGGAAUGCUUUUGAAAGCUUUCGGUAUGUAGAUAAAGGUUAGGAUCAUGAUUUUUCAGUAGUAUUACAGCACACCGUGAGUGUACUUUAGCACCGUUUGUUUCCCUAAGAAACUUUCAGUGAUGAGUUCUUAAAAGAACCAUUGUUUUAUUAUUGUGGAGAACAUUUUAAUCUAAAGAACCUUUUUCCACUAUAAAGAAUCUUUUGAGCACAUCAAUGCCAAUAAAGAACCAUUCUUUUUAAGAGUGUAAUAACAGGAGACAAUGAAAACAAAAACAAAAUACAAUGUAACUAAAUGAAACUGACAUGUAGCCUAAUUACAUAUACAAAUGUUUUAAUUUUUAAAAUAUAAUAAUUGCUAUUUACAAUUUUAAUAACUGUGGAAACCUCAUCACAGUUUGUGAAAAGGUUAGGCUCACUACAGGACCAAGACUGAACCUUAUUAAAAGGCAUCAAAUCCAAAUUGAAUCUCUGACAAAAUGUUUAUUUUUUUAUUUUUAAUUUUUUUUUACUUAUUGACAAGUGUAUAUAUCUUUAAGUCUAUCUCUCUCUCUCAUGCAGGAAACAACUAGAACCACCUCCAGACUGCAUACAACACUUUAAGGCAAACACAUCUCUCUUCGUUAAAUCUCUUUCUGGCGGUUCGAAUGCCAGAGCGGACUCAGUGGAACAGUACACAAGCAGUGCGAGCAACUGAAAUUGUUAACUGCAACUGACCCACAAAGACUGCCUUGCUAAAGACAACGCAGGGCCGUCCUUAGGGUGGUGCCACACUGGGCCCCAAGGUUUAGGGAAUGGACCGAUUGGGCAGUUUGCCCCCAACCCCAACCUGGCCUCACACUGGGUCCACGCUAGCUUGGGAUGACACUGGCACGACGAACCAUAAAAUUCCUUGCCAUCGCUGUUUUUUGUAAAGCACAAGAUAAAGACAAAGCACGAGACUAGGGGUGCUCCGAUUGAUCAUCAGUACCUCUAAAGGCCAGUGUCAUAAACUGAUCUCAAGCUGACGCGCGGGUAUGGUAAACUAAUUAUAAUGCUAAAGGUGAGGUACAAUUCAUAUUUCUUUAUUAAAUAACUUACAGAGUAAUUUGAAAACUUUCUGUGAGACAUAAUUUCACAAACAGAGUGAGUGAAUCACUGUGCAUGCUCUCUUUCUCUUUCCCUCUCAAAAUGUGCAGAUAUUGCUUUAUGUGAUUGACGAUCGAUGAUCAGCUCCAAAAAUCCUAAUCCGGGCACCCUUACACGAGA
ensembl:lncRNA